UACGUAGGCAGCGAGCGUUGUUCGGAGUUACUGGGCGUAAAGCGUGCGUAGGCGGUUCUCUAAGUUUGGUGUGAAAUCUCCCGGCUCAACUGGGAGGGUGCGCCGAAGACUGGGAGACUGGAGUGUGGGAGAGGUAGGCGGAAUUCCUGGUGUAGCGGUGAAAUGCGUAGAUAUCAGGAGGAACACCUGUGGUGUAGACGGCUUACUGGACCAUGACUGACGCUGAGGCACGAAAGCGUGGGGAGCAAACAGG
rnacentral:rRNA from 1 species